GUCUAAUAAUCCUCCUGCUGUGGUGGUUGGCUGGUAGAUCGAUUCCGCCUCCCUUCCUGGUAUUGACCAUCUAGGUUAGAAACACAUGGUAAGAUAGAAUUGUGGAUAAGACGAGUAAUUACGAGACAUGAUCUUUUGGGGGUUUUAUUAGCUCCGUAGCUUAGUGUGGCACCUACUAAUACUAAUAAUUACCUUAUGGUGGUACAUGCUAGAAUGCUCUGCUAUACUAUUUCAGUCAAUCAAAGAAGCAAAUCAAGCAUUUAUCAUCAGAACAAACAUACAAACACUUUACAUAUAGAAAAUAUGUAUUUUUUGUCUUAGGUUUCCUAUCUCUUUGGGGGAGUUUGUAGAUGUAGGAUUCCAAGGUGUGAAAUCCUUCUUGUCUUUCUAGAGUAGAAAAGGUAAGAGUAGUAAGAGUAGAACAGCAAAAGGUGCGAUAGGAUCAAGAUAAGUAUAGAAAGAAUCAGAGUAAAGGUAAGGUAAAAGUUUUGUCCAGUACUAUCUAGGUUUCGUCCUACAGUCAACAUUUCCUCUGAUACCACUUCUGUCACACCCGGAUUUAAGGGAUAAAGCCAAGUGCAUCUCAUAUGUGCGCCAAAUAAGAACAUCACAUAUAAUGACAAAAUGUAUAUAGAUAAAUGUCACAAAUAUCAUUAUUACAUAGCGGAAGUAUCUUACAAAAAUAGAUGAUAACAAUAAAGCGAACUAAAUAUUAUUCCUUGGCGCCAUCAAGCUGACUGGGAGCCGCCACCUAGAUAAGCUCGUACUCCUCAUUGUAGACUUCCUCCUAGACCACCAGUUCUUCUCCUGUGGGGGGGUUAUAUAUCGCAAGAGUGAGCUCACAAAAGAUCAUAUCUCAACAAGUUGUGGGGAAUAAUGUGCAUGAACUCACCAAAGGUGGGAGUUCAUGUGAAGUGUAAGGCUGAUAAACCAAAUAAUGGUUAAAGCUGAGCAUUUCUUUUAAUAAGUUGGUCAAAUUUUUAUUAGCAGAUACUAAAUGUAAGUAUAUACCAAACCAGAGUAAUAAUAGAUCAAAAUUAAUAAUAAACCACAAUGCGAUGCAAAUGUCCAGUUAAAUUUAAUUCCAUAUGUUACUCAUGUAAGGUUCCGAGCUGCUCAUGACCGUGAGCAUGGCUGAUAUACCAGUUUUACACUCUGCAGAGGUUGCACAUCUUUACCCACAAGUCAUGUUACCCAUCUGCCAAGGGGUCAUGAAUCACAUACACCUCUACCAAGGAAGCGAGGCAGGCUAACACUUCGAGGACUUUACAAAGUUCCACUAGCUUCAGAAAACUCGCUACAGUUUCUAGGGAGCGCAAUGCAGGAAUCCCCCGUCUGACUGCCAUCGCAACAAAAUCAACCCGAGAACCUCCCUACACCGACCACUCCCCUACUGCCCUUGCCCCUUUCGGGUAAGGUAGUCAUCCACUAGCUUUCCUAAUUAGUCAGCCAAGGGUGUCCCAUACCACCCUUGUGGUAGCACUAUAUUCCUGGGUGGUUCUCCAUGUUCCAAUUAACAUAAUGAUAUUGUCAUGAACAGUAAAUAACAAAUUGAUAAUAAAAGCAUGAUCAUGAAUAAUGUGUAUCUUAACACCCAAAACCACAUAAAGCAAUAGCAGGUACUACCCAAAAGUUCAGUGGUAAACAAGGUAUAAAGAUAGUCAAACUAGGGUGACCUAUUGGGACCCAUAAAAAUUAAACUAUGCAGAUCAUAAUGAUUAAGAGGAACAUUAUUGGGUAAAUAGAAGUGAUCAAGGGCACAACUUGCCUUCAACGGGCUCCUGCUCAGCAAUUUCCACUUUCUGAACACCUGGGUCCUCGAUCACUUGUUCAUCUACUCGAAGCAAUACAAACAACAUGGUAUAGGAGAAAUUAAGAUCACACCAAACAUUAGUAUAGAAUACAUGAUCAUAUUCUACGCAUCGUAACGAGAUCGUAGCUUCGAGAAUCACUAAAUUCGGAGUUACGGUUAUCGAGUUACGAUUUUCCGAAGUAAUUAAGUGUUUUGUAGAGAAUAAAUUAAGUAGAUAAUUUUAAUCUAUGUUUCAUGACUAAACAGAGUUACCAAGUGAUAAACAAUAUUAAUACAAAAUUAUUGUAACUGGAAUGGAUAAAAAGGGAGUUAAAAUGAAUUUUCUAGGAAUUAAACAAGUUCUAGUAUUAUUUUUGUACUAGAAAAGUAUUUUCUAUAUUGUUUUUCCUAAUUUCUUAGGUCUCUGGACUGCACGCAUAAUUAUCAGGGAGUACGGGGUCAAAACUGUAAAUGCCAGGAACCCGAAUUAAACUCUGUUCUACUGCUCCAGGACGGCGGGUUGGUUUCGCUUAACCCGAGGGUUUCUUAUGCAAAGAUGGCCCGGUGAAGGGGUAUCCGCCGAUCGUGGCCGUUCGAUCAACAACUGAAGGCCACAAUUGGAACAGUCGCCGACCGAACCGAUAUGAAAUUGAGGCUGUAAGAUGCUAAUCUUAUGGUUCGGGUUCUACGUACAUGUGAUAUGUUGCUGGCCCUCCGAUCCCGAUCGUGCAGCCCACCAAAACCCAGGCCGAUCGGGGCCCGGGAUCUAAUCCGAUCCUUAGAUUUGGGAUCUCACGACCAAGGUUCAUCUCUACCUCGCCGACGCAGGAUGGUAGCGCCGCCAGUCAUGCACGGUGGCAACCCCGCAGGUGCGCGACGACCCAGUACAUCCGUGCCCCAUCCGACUCCCAGAACAGCGCUACGCAUGGAGGAGAGGAUUGCAGAUGUGAUGGGAUGUUACUCACCGGCUAUCAAGCUGUGGAGGGUCUGACCACGGAGAUGCGCGGCAUGGUGGAGCAGGACGAAGACCGAUGAGCAAUUGAGACGACGCCGAUGAAGCUUGUGACUUGGAUGGCCAGGGGGUUUGCGGCGGAUGACUUCUUCUUAUAGCCCGGAUGCAGGGCUAAGACCCGCGCCUAUAUCGACUCGUCUGAGAACUACGGCACCCACGUGAUUUUCUGCGUUCGAUUCAGCGGGGACGAUGGACCUGCGUGCUGG
rnacentral:lncRNA from 1 species